GAUGAACGCUAGCGGCGGGCUUAAUACAUGCAAGUCGAGGGGUAGCAAUACACCGGCGCACGGGUGCGUAACGCGUAUGCAACCUACCUUUAUCUGGGGGAUAGCCCGGGGAAACCCGGAUUAAUACCGCAUAACAAAUUGAUUGGCAUCAAUUGAUUUUAAAAGAUUUAUCGGAUAGAGAUGGGCAUGCGUAAGAUUAGAUCGUUGGCGAGGUAACGGCUCACCAAGUCUACGAUCUUUAGGGGCUCUGAGAGGAGAAUCCCCCACACUGGCACUGAGAUACGGGCCGGACUCCGACGGGAGGCAGCGGUAGGGAAUAUUGGGCAAUGGGCGCAAGCCUGACCCAGCCACGCCGCGUGCAGGAAGACGGCCCUCUGGGUUGUAAACUGCUUUUGACUGGGAAGAAAAGACUCCUUGCGAGGAGAGUUGACGGUACCAGCAGAAUAAGCCACGGCUAACUACGUGCCAGCCGCCGCGGUAAUAC
rnacentral:rRNA from 1 species